UACGUAGGGUGCAAGCGUUAAUCGGAAUUACUGGGCGUAAAGCGUGCGCAGGCGGUUCUACAAGACAGAUGUGAAAUCCCCGGGCUCAACCUGGGAACUGCAUUUGUGACUGUAGAGCUGGAGUACGGUAGAGGGGGAUGGAAUUCCGCGUGUAGCAGUGAAAUGCGUAGAUAUGCGGAGGAACACCGAUGGCGAAGGCAAUCCCCUGGACCUGUACUGACGCUCAUGCACGAAAGCGUGGGGAGCAAACAGG
rnacentral:rRNA from 1 species